UAGAGUCUGACACACAAUCUACAAGGUGAUACAUCAGACAGAUUUUGUCCAGUAGAAUGUGAUACACAAUCUACAAGGUGAUGCAUCAGACAGGUGUUGUCCAGUAGUCUGAUAC